rnacentral:rRNA from 1 species
GACGAACGCUGGCGGCGUGCUUAACACAUGCAAGUCGAACGGAAAGGCCCUGCUUGCCGGGUACUCGAGUGGCGAACGGGUGAGUAACACGUGGGUGAUCUGCCCUGCACUUCGGGAUAAGCCUGGGAAACUGGGUCUAAUACCGGAUAGGAGCCAUUUUUAGUGUGAUGGUUGGAAAGUUUUUUCGGUGUAGGAUGAGCUCGCGGCCUAUCAGCUUGUUGGUGGGGUAAUGGCCUACCAAGGCGGCGACGGGUAGCCGGCCUGAGAGGGUGGACGGCCACAUUGGGACUGAGAUACGGCCCAGACGCCUACGGGAGGCAGCAGUGGGGAAUAUUGCACAAUGGGCGCAAGCCUGAUGCAGCGACGCCGCGUGGGGGAUGACGGCCUUCGGGUUGUAAACUCCUUUCGCUAGGGACGAAGCUUUUUGUGACGGUACCUAGAGAAGAAGCACCGGCUAACUACGUG